rnacentral:tRNA from 1 species
AAAAGAAUAAGAUAUUUUUAAGCUGCUAACUUUAAAUAAAGCGGUUAAACUCCGUUUUUCUUUUU